rnacentral:rRNA from 1 species
UACGUAGGGUGCUAGCGUUGUCCGGAAUUAUUGGGCGUAAAGAGUUCGUAGGCGGUCUGUCGCGUCUGCUGUGAAAACUCGGGGCUUAACCCCGGGCCUGCAGUGGGUACGGGCAGACUAGAGUGCGGUAGGGGAGACUGGAAUUCCUGGUGUAGCGGUGAAAUGCGCAGAUAUCAGGAGGAACACCGGUGGCGAAGGCGGGUCUCUGGGCCGUAACUGACGCUGAGGAGCGAAAGCAUGGGGAGCGAACAGG